rnacentral:rRNA from 1 species
GACGAACGCUGGCGGCGUGCUUAACACAUGCAAGUCGAACGAGACGAUUGAAAGCUUGCUUUCGAAAGUCGAGUGGCAAACGGGUGAGUAACGCGUAGACAACCUGCCUUUGAGAUGGGGACAACAGUUCGAAAGGACUGCUAAUACCGAAUGUUGUAUAUUUUCCACAUGGAAGAUAUAUUAAAGAUGGCCUCUAUUUAUAAGCUAUCGCCCAAAGAUGGGUCUGCGUCUGAUUAGCUGGUUGGUGGGGUAAAGGCCUACCAAGGCGACGAUCAGUAGCCGGUCUGAGAGGAUGAACGGCCACAUUGGGACUGAGACACGGCCCAGACUCCUACGGGAGGCAGCAGUGGGGAAUCUUCCACAAUGGACGAAAGUCUGAUGGAGCAACGCCGCGUGAGUGAAGAAGGGUUUCGGCUCGUAAAGCUCUGUUGUUGGGGACGAAUGUGCAGUAUUUGAAUAAAGUACUGUAAAGACGGUACCUGACGAGGAAGCCACGGCUAACUACGUGCCAGCCGCCGCCGUAA